AGUGGGUCCGCCACUGAUCAACAAGCAAGUUCUUGAUAUAAUCAACUUUUUGAUCAUUAAGUAAACACGCAAUGUAAAGGAAGACUUCUUCUUACUCCUUCAUUGUGCCUUCUCAGAACAGGAGGUUGUGGGAGACUUCUAUCCCAAUGGUUUUCUUAUAGUUAACAUAUCUAUUCUAUUGAUCGAUGUUUCAAUCAUGGCUUUUUAAUUUUUUUUGGGCCUUUGAAACUGGCUGCCUUUUGGCAUUGUAAAUAACAUUUCCACUUUCCUUCUAAGGUAAUAUAUAUUCACAAGUUAUCAAAAAAAAAAAAAAAAGGGAAGACUUCUUUAUCUUUGUCAUCUAACUUAUCGUAGCUGACUCUUAAUGUUUUCUCAAAUUUUCCGUCUAGACCAUUUCGAACCCUAGGCAACAACUCCAUCCAUAGUCCUUGUCCUUUCCUCUUAAUG